GAAACAUUCGUUUGGAGGUUUGAUUUUUGCUUCUCUGUACUUCUUUAUUAUUACUAUUAUUAUUAUAGCAUCCUCCUUAUCAUAUUUAUAUAUUUUUUUUCAAUCUUUAAAUUUUCUCUCUACAUGAGAAGGUAAUUAGACGAGGUAGAAGAAUUGAGAUCUCAAUCUAGUAUGACUGGGGAGAGCAAUAUUGUUGAAAAUAAUUCUAAGAACCCUAUUCUGAUAUCUGGUUGUAAAGUUGCAGAUGGCAGUGGUGUUAUGCUCUAAUGGCUUCGGGAUCCGAUGAUGCUCUUAAGAGUGUUGGUUUAGUCUUAGCAGGACUUACCAACUGAAUCUGGAACUGUGAUCCCCUAUGUUCACUUGAUGAAACAAGCUCACAAGAUUUUGAGGACAGUUAUAUAGUCUUGUUAUUUGCAUAACUUAGUAUAGUUGAACA